GCCUGCAUAGCUCAGCGGUAGAGCACUCCCUUGGUAAGGGAGAGGUCAUGGGUUCAAGUCCCAUUGCAGGCU
rnacentral:tRNA from 1 species